AAAAUGUUUGGCCUUGUUUAUUCAAAAUUGGGCCAAUCCUUAAAUUGACCCCAAUUAAUUAACCCAAAAUCUGUCCAACCCAAGCCCAAUCUCCCUACCCAAAUACCCAUUAACCUAUACCCUAAUCCCUCACAUAAAAGGGGACCCUUAGACAAGAGAAGGAAGGCAGCUUCCCCUGGCUACUUUCUUAUUCUUCAUUCUCCUCAAAGCAACAAUCAGAUCCGCGGCACAAGAACAAACCCCCAUCCCCAUCGUUUUCUCAUCUCCUUGACACCACCGUUGCUUCUUCCUCAAAAAAUGGUGGAAACCUAGAGAAGAAGGCUUCAGCUGUAUAACACCAAGAGACCUCACCCCUUAGAGCAUAGCGUCACUUCUCAUCUUCUUCUUUUUGACAUAAACAUAUACACGCACAAAAAAUGUACAAGAAUGAGAGGAAAGGAACGAGAAAAUAGGGGAAGGGAAAAACAAGGCUCUCAUCACUCACUUCGAUUUUUUAGAAGAAAACAUCAGCCAUUUCUAGUCUUCAUUUCUUAAAUAGUUGAGGUUGUCUUCGAGUCCUCCGGCAUCGAUUUCGAUCUAUGUUCACAUCAAACAAUUGUUGCUGUAAAAGUUUUGUUAAAGGAUCAUUCUGACGAGGGAAGCUAUUAAGUUUGAAGUCUGUUGCUGUUUGCUAGAAUUUCUUGCUGAGCUUCGUCCUUACUGUUCCUCGAGCCUUGAUGUGGCUCGAUUCAGUUAUUUCCUUCGCUUAGCAGGUAAACACAAACGCUCUGUAAUUGUUCGACCUUAAAAUGAUAAUAAAAAUUCAGUCCUUCAUAAACUCCGGAUGAUCUUAGGUUAUGAGGUGUUUUCUGUUAAUACUUUAUGGGAAUAAUGGGUAUAAGUUAGUCAAAUUCUUGAAGCAUGAGAGCAACUACAUGGAAUUGGUUUAAUAAAUUUGAAUUUGAUUCCUUGUUUUAAUUUUGAAUCUACAUUACUUAUAUAUGCCGAUUUGUUGUGUGGGUUUGAAAUAUGGGCAUCUUUAGAUUUUAAGUUAUUGUUCUGCAUAUUGGCUUAGGAAGUGGUUUAAACUUCAUGAUUUGGAUUCAUCUUCACAGUUUGGUAGUUAAAAUGUAAAGAUAAGUUGUAGUAACUAAAAUAUACAUGGUUGGAAUGGUACAUGGCUCUUGAACGGUGUUAUAUGCAAUUGAACUGUUAUGGAAGUAAUUGAAAUGGGUCACGGGAAUUUUGGGUUGAAUCAGUGGUACCAUUAGUAAAUGAAGUGGACUAGAAAUCACCGUACAUAGAUUCUUUGUAUUUGUGACUCCUUACUGUAUUUUGAAAAGUGUUAAUGUGAUUUGUGCAAAUUUUGUAUGAUUUGUGCUUUUUGAAUUCUUGUAUAAAGUACACUGCCAAGAACGUUUGGAUGGAUAACUUUAGACCUUUUGAAAGUUCUAUGUGUUUAGGUGGUAAAUGUGAUGAAAAGAGGCUUAAUUAAGUAAAGUGGCAAGUUCUGGUUUGAGUUAAUUUUCAUAUUUACCAAUUCAAACUUGUUGGAAUAAGAUUUCAGUCAUGGUUUAUGUCAUUCUAUUCUUUCAGACGUGUCUUCAUAUGUGAAUGGCCUUUGGAUUGUUUAACGAUCAGUUAAUUUGGCAAUUGCGACAAGCAAAGAGGAUAGAGCCUUUCAUGUGUAAUAUCAAAGUAGUUUAGAAAAUAAUUCUUAAGUGCGUAGUUGCUUUAGUCGCGCUAUUGAAAAAUUACCUUCCUAAACUCGGGUGCGCAUUUAUGUGAUCCAAAUCCAAAUCUCAAUAAUGUUAGAUAAAAUAUGUCGAGAGUCGCGGGUGCAUUUAUGUGACGUGGUUCAAGACGUAUUUUAAAUGACGUUGCAAUUUUUUCUUAAAACUAAUUAAAAGCGGUUAUAAAGUUUAAAAUUACACAAUAGGCUAAAACAUGUAUUAAAAUUAAAUAAUAGGCCGAUUAUAACAGUUGAGCGACCGUGCUAGAACCACGGAAUAUGAUAAUGCCUAACACCUUCUCCCGGGUUAACAGAAUUCCUUAUCCGGAUUUCUGUGUUCGCGGACUGUAAUGCAAAAUCAAUCUUGUCCUCGAUUUGGGAUUUGAACUGGUGACUUGGGACACCAUAAAAUUAUCCCAAGUGGCGACUCUGAAUUUUAAUUGGAAUAAAUCCCGUUUUGAUUGUUACUUUAAUUGGAAAAAACUCCCUUAUACACCCUUCUCGGGGGUUGUAGUAAAAAAGGAGGUGUGACAGGAGGCUCCUUGAUUGAGAGCUUUGUUGAAGGAGUUUUCCGGUUUUCAAGAUCCAAAUAUAGCUUGUGGGGCUCAUAAGUGUACGAACCCAUGCCUUGCAAUGCUUUCACACACUCCACAUAACCUUGUUUCUCCUCAUCAUCGUCAAGAUUGAGAAAAACGGCUUCCAAAUUAUCCUCAACAUUCAUUGUGCCACUAGCAUCAUCAAUAAUCACAUCCAUCACCAAAUCCAUGAACGAACAAACUUCAUUGCUAUUCGGUUGCCUCAUAGAUUUGCACACAUGGAAGACCACCUUUUCAUUACCCACUCGGAUAGUGAGCUCACCGGCUUCCACAUCAACAAGAACCUUCCCUGUAGCAAGAAAAGGUCUACCCAAAAAUGAUAGGCACCUCAUAGUCCACUUCACAAUCAAGAAUCACAAAGUCUGCUAGGAGGAUGAACUUGUCAGCUCAAACCAACACAUCAUCAAUAAUGCCCAAAGGUCUCUUCAUUGUACGAUCCACCAUUUGCAACCUCAUAGAUGUGGGUCUUGGUUGCCCAAUCCCCAAAGUUUUGAACACCGAAUAGGGUAUCAAGUUGAUACUCUCCCCAAGAUCACAUAAUGCUUUGGCAAAGUUGGCACUCCCAGUAGUGUAAGGGAUUGUGAAAGCGCCCUGAUCUUCCAACUUAGGAGCCAUUGAGUGGACAAUUUCACUCACUUGAUGUGUCAUCUUAAUUAUUUCACAAUUCAUCGAACUCUUUUUGUUUACCAAGUCCUUCAUGAAUUUUGCAUUCUCGGCAUUUGUUCCAAGGCCUCAACCAACGGCACAUUAAUAGACACUCUUCAUCAUAUCAAUAAACAUUUUGAAUUGGUUCUCACUAUUUUGCUUUGCAAGCCUUUGAGAGUAUGGAAGAGGAGGCCUUGGCAUUGGUGCCUUAGCUUUCGGCACUACCGGAUCCGACAUGUCAAUCACGUGUUCCCUAUAUGGGUUUACUUCUUGCGUCUCCUCCACAUUUUCAUCAAUAUCAAUUCUCACUUCUUCAUCAACUUGAACCACAUUGCUUGGAAUUUCAUCUUCUUAAACCACAACAUCUUCAUCCACAAUUCUUCUUUGAUUUGAGGUGGUUGCAUCUCCACCUUUUCCAAUUCUUGUAUUCAUGGCCAUAGCAUAUCCCGUAUUAUUCCCACCCUUCAGGUUCACUACCGUAUCACUAGGUAGUGCCCCCAUAGGACGAGUGUUGAAAGCUUGCGAGAUUUGGCCUAAUUGAACUUCCAAAUUGUGAAUAGAAGUGUUGCGAGAGGCUAGUUGAGCAUCAGAGUCAGCAAUCUUCUCCAUCAUCUAUUUAAACAUGUUCUCAAUUCAACCUAUCUCAUUGUUAGAAGAGCUCAGACCUUGAGAAGGAUAUGGAGGUGGAUUUCUUGGUUGUUGGAACAUCGGGGGCCUUUGAAAACUCGACCCCCGGUUGUUGUUGUUGUUCCACCUUCCUUGGCUAUUGCCUCCCCAAUUGCUUUGAUUGUUGCCACCCCAAUUGCCUUGAUGGUUACCUCCCCAAUUGCCUUGGUUACCUUGAUUAUUCCAAUUGCCUUGAUUAUUGUACCACCACUCCAAUUGCCUUGGUGGCCUUGGUUGUUCCAAUUUCCUUGAUUUCCUUGCGGCCACCAUUGUUGUUGAUUUUGUCCUUGAGUGUUGUUUCUUUGGCCUUGAUAAUUAUUGACAUAUUGAACUUCUUUUUCUUGUUCAUUGAAUGAAUCACCUUGAUCAUAACCACUAUCAACUUGCAUGAAUUGUUCCGGACGACUGUGCAUUCGUUGACCUUGUUGCCGUCUCUUGUUUAUUAUCAUAUUCAACCUUUCAUCACAUUCACUUGUUUCAGCCCUUGAGCUUGUUAAAGCUGAGUUUUGGCCAAUUAGUUCAUUGUAGUUGUCAACUCGGCAAUAGCUUGCCCAUGAUCAUGUAGUUCCUAGUGUAGGUGAAUGACAUUUGGGUCACCUUGAGGAACAUUGGCUCUACUUUGCCAUGCCGAUGAGGUAUCCACCAUCUCAUCAAGAUUUUCAAAAGCUUUGGCAUAAGGCGUGUUCAUGAAGUUCCUACCGGCAAGUUGAUUUACGACACAUUGAUUUGUUGUGUUGACCCCCCUGUAGAAGGUUUGUUGAAUCAUGGCCUCAGUCAUAUCAUUAUUCGGUCACUCUUUAACCAUGGUACGAUAUCUUUCCCAAAUCUCGUGCAAUGGCUCAUUGGGUUCUUGCUUGAACGUGAGAAUCUCAUCCCGAAGUGUCGCCAUAUGUCCCCGAGAGAAGAAUUUGGCAAUGAUUUUUUUCGCCAACUCAUCCCAUGUAUGGAUGGAAUGAUUGCCCAAUCUCUCUAACCAAUCCAAUUCCUUUCCCUUUAGAGAAAAUAGAAAUAGCCUCAAUCGCAGUGCGUCCUCAGAGACAUUGGUUUGCUUGCUCCCCCAACAAGUAUCGACGAACCCUUUGAGAUGCUUGUAAGCAUUUUGACUUGGAUCCCCGGUGAAGAAUCCGCAUUGCUCAAGUAGUGUAAGCAUCACAUUUGUGAUUCGGAAGUUGCCCGCCCUAAUGCGGGGCGGGAAUAUAGCACUUGCAUAACCCCUGUUCGGCAAUAAAACAAGCUCUAAAUCAAAUUCCCAUUCGGUACCCACACAAGGGUUAGGCCACACCCUAGCUAGAAAUUUAGUAACUCAGGAAAAAUGAAGAAAUUAAGAUAGAAUGCAUAUUGAUUAUGGAAAGAAAAUUGGAUGUUUAGAAGCUAAUGUAGUACAAUAUUACUCAAAAUAGUAAAGAAAAACGGCUCAGGUGCUCUACACUGAUACCACUUACCCUAAAAAUGACAAAAAGAUCUAUUUAUACUAAGCUAAAAAUAUCUGAUUAAACUACCCCUGCGGAGGUUGUGCAACCGCACAAUUAUGUUUGCGGUCCGCACAAUGGGACUUGGCUUGACAGGUUCUAGUUCUGCGGCCACAUAAUUCUGGAUUGCGGCCACACUCAUUCAACUUCUGUGGACCACACAUUUAUGAGUGCGGCUGCACUCUUGAUUAUGCGGCCACAUAAAAAUGGUGUUGUUCGCAUAUCUUCUUGAACUUGAAAUCCCAUCUCUCUAAUCUUUGUCUUCUGCGGCCGCACCAGAAUUGUGCGGUCCGCACUUUGCAUGUCAUUUCUUGUUAGAGGUCUUCUUCAUUAUCUACGACCACACUCAAUAUUGUGCGGUCCACACAAUGCCCUUUUUGCCUUAUUUCUGUCCUUAUCCAAAAUUACUCCUUCUUGAGUUGAUUUUUAUCUCUUUAGCUUAUGUUCUAAUACUCCUGCAAGCAAGCACAUUUCAAUAGUAUUCGGGAAUGCCUUUAAGCAAUUUUGAGCUAAAACGAAAGUCAAAGAGUGUAAAUAAGUAGUUAAAUCCCUACUUAUCAACUAUGCAUAUGCGAUCACCCUGCCAUCCUGCAUCAAUACUACACCGAGCCCAAUACGAGAUGCAUCACAAUACACCGUGUAAGAUCCUAAAAUUAUGGCCAACACCAACACUGGUGUCGUGGUCAAAGCAAUCUUAUGCUUUUGAAAGCUCAACUCGCACUUGUCCGACCAUCUAAACGGGCACCCUUCUGGGUCAAUCUGGUCAAUGGGGCUGCUAUAUGUGAAAACUCGUCCACGAACUGACGGUAAUAACCCACCAAACCUAGGAAAAUUCAGAUUUUUGUAGCUGAAGUAGGUCUAGGCCAGUUUUGAACUGCCUCAAUCUUCUUAAGAUCCACCUUUAUGCCCUCUGCCGAUAAUACGUACCCCAAAAAGGCGACUGAGUCUAACAAAAACUCAUACUUUGAAAAUUUGGCAUACAAGUGGCUAUCUCUCAGAGUUUGAAGUACAAUCUGAAGAUGUUGGUCGUGCUCCUUUGGACUGCGGGAAUAGAUCAAGAUAUCAUUAGUGAAUACAAUCACAAAGGAAUCCAAGUAGGGCUUGAACACCCGGUUCAUCAUAUCCAUAAAUGUUUUUAGGGCAUUUGUCAAUCCAAAUGACAUCACUAGAAACUCAUAAUGCCCAUACCGAGUCCGAAAAAUUGUAUUAGGGACAUCAGAUGCCCUAAUCAUCAACUGAUGGUAGCCAGACCUCAAAUCAAUCUUCAUUUUUAUUUGAGGUACGCAGUUCACCUUGCACUUCUGAAGGGCAGUACAUUGUGAGUUAGGCACGCAAGUUGAGUUGAGCAUAAUGUUUCAUCCCAGGCGGACGAACAAUUUGAGCGCACUAUUCAUAUAUUGGAGGAUAUGCUUCGCGCUUGUGUUAUAGACUUCAGGGGUUCUUGGGAUUAGUUCUUUCCACUUGCGGAGAUUGCCUACAACAACAACUACAUGUCAAGCAUUCAGAUGGCUCUCUAUGAAAUAUUAUACGAGAGGCGGUGUCGUUCCCCAAUUGGAUGGUUUGAGCCGGGGGAGACUCGAUUGUUGGGUAUAGAUUUGGUACAGGAUGCCUUGGAUAAGGUCAAGAUUAUUCAGGAUCAACUUUGCACAACUCUGUCUAGGCAGAAGAGUUAUGCCAACCAUCGAGUUCAUAAUGUUGCAUUAAUGGUUGGAGAUAGGGUAUUUCUUUGGGUUUCACCCAUGAAGCGUGUGAUGAGGUUCGUAAAGAAGGGCAAGUUGAACCCUAGGUAUAUCGGAACCUUUGAAAUUCUUGAGAGAGUGGGUGAGGUGGCCUACAAGUUGGCAUUGCCAACUAGUUUAUAAGCAGUCAAUCCGGUGUUCCAUGUGUCUAUGCUCCAGAAGUAUUACGAUGAUCCGUCCCAUGUGUUAGAUUUCAGCUCAGUCCAACUGGACAUGGAUUUGACUUAUGAGGAGAAGCCGGUGGCUAUUCUAGCCCGGCAGGUGCGGUAGUUGAGGUCCAAAAGUUACCCUUCAGUUCAAGUGUAGUGGAGAGGUCAGCCGGUCAAGGCAGCCACUUGGGAGUACGAGUCAUACAUACGGAGUAGAUAUCCAAGCCUUUUCACCGGUCCAGGUACUUUUCUAUAUCCGUUCGAGGACGAACGUUUGUUUUAGAAGUGGAGAAUGUGAUGACCCGAAAUGUCAUCUAGAGAUUUAACCCUUAAUUUUGUGUUUCAAAACCUCAAAUAGCCCUCUUUAUCCUUCCUCGAUUUGCGGGCAUAGUUCGUAUCUUUUUACGGAAGGCUUUAUUGUGAAAAAUUGAUUAAAACGUGAAUUUGUGCCUUAAAAAUUUAUUUGAGUUGACUUGUUCAACAUUUUGAGCAAACAUACCUAGAUCCGUAUUUUAUCGAUCCUAGCGGGUCCAUAUUAUGAUUUGGGACUUGAGCAUAUGCCCGGAAUCAAAUUCGAAGGUCCCUAGCUUGAGUUAUCGCAACUUGUUAAAAAUUUGAAAUUAAAGGUUUAAAGAAUUUAUAAAUUUGACCGAAGUUUGACUUUGUUUAUACGGGGUCUAAAUUCUGGUUGCGAAACUUUGUCUAGGUUCAUUACUAUAUUUACAACUUGUUUGCAAAAUUUGGUGCAAAACGGAGUUAGUUUGACGUGAUUCGGACGUCCGGUUGUUAAAAUGAAAGUUCUUAAGUUUGUUUGAAAGUUUCAUUCAAUUUGGUGUCCGAUUUGUAGUUUUAGAUGUUAUUUUGGUAUUUUGAUCGCCUGAGCGAGUUGGUAUGAUAUUUUUGGGCUUGUGUGAAUGUUUGGUAUGGAGCCUCGAGGGCUCAGGUGAGUUUCGAAUAGGCUUCAAAGUGGUUUGGACUUAAGAAAAUGGCUGGUGAGGAUCUGGUUCUGGUGUAGCCUCUAAUCUCGCAUUUGCGAGGUCAAUGCUCACAUUUGCAAACUAUUAAGACUCCUUUCAGGUUUGUAUUUGCGAACCCAUUCCUCAUAUUUGCGUAGAAUGGCUGGGUAACAAGGGAUCGCAUUUGCGAUCGAUAGGUCGCAUUUGCGGAGGGCCAGAAUUUGCGUUUGCGAACAAAUCAUCGUAUGCGAUGAUAGCAGAGAUGGAGUUUCUUCGCAAUUGCAAAGUAUGUAUGGCAUUUGCGGUGUUCGCAAUUGCAACAUCUGCGCCUGGUCAAAAGCUGAGUGAGACGGGAUUUUUUCCCAAUCUUUCAAAUUCUCAACCCUAAACACCUUAGAGGUGAUUUUCCCAAGAGUUAUUCUUCCUAAUUUCUUUGGUAAGUGACCUUAAUAUAUUUUCUUCCAAUUACCCAUUACAUUCAUCAUUAAAUUUAGGAUUUCCAUGAUAGAAAUUAUGGAUUUGGGUAGAAUUAUGGAUUUUUUAAAAUUGAAAUUUAGACCUCGCAUUGAGGUCAGAUUUCGAAACUAAUCACAUAACUAGGCUCGGGAAUGAAUGGGUAAUCAUGUUUUGGUCCUAAUUUCCGAUUUUGACCAAGUGGGCUGGGGGUUUACUUUGUUGGCUUUUUCAAUAAUGACCUAAAUUGAAUUUUUUCAUUCGUGAGUAGUUUCUAAAACUUGUUUUGAAUCGUUUGGUCAAUAAUGUGUUAGAUUCGGUUGUACUCAUACUACACUCUGCACUUCUUGUGCAGAUUUUGGAGUCGGUCCCAAUGAUGGUCAUUAGCAUGCUCGAGUUGGCUAUCAAUGUGGAGACUUGAGGUACGGUUGCUCGGUGUUCGCAACCCUAAAGUCCCCUUCCACUUUAUCUUAACUGUGUAUUUUUCUUUCAGACAGAUUUACUUUUAUUCAGAUCUUUAUCUGUAGUAUUCUAGUAGCUCGUGCACUUGCGACACCAGAUUCAGGCUGUAUUAUAGAUUUCUGUUGUUAUGUUUUCCCCUCUUUACUUCAUAGUUAUUUCAGCUAUUGCGGUUUCUUCAUUAUUAUUUAAUUUGAACUAUUAAAAAUAGACAAAUACUCUAACGUUGGCUUGCCUAACAAGUGAAAUGUUAGGCGCCAUCACGGUCCCGAAUGUAAAAAUUCUGGGUCGUGACAAUUCAUGAAACAGAUAAACCUGCCUUUACAUUGUACUUUUUUGAGAAUGAUAUAUUGUUUGUACAUUACUGUAAAUUGUGAUUAUUUGUAUAUAAGAGUCCACAUCGGAUACAUCUAAUCUGCGUCCUGUUACCUUGAACGUCGUCCCAAUGAAAGGUUUGCACAAACUUUGUAUUACAAUAAUGUCCACC
rnacentral:lncRNA from 1 species